rnacentral:rRNA from 1 species
UACAGAGGAUGCAAGCGUUAUCCGGAAUGAUUGGGCGUAAAGCGUCUGUAGGUGGCUUUUUAAGUCCGCUGUGAAAGUCCAGGGCUCAACCCUGGAAUGCCAGUGGAAACUGUCGAGCUAGAGUCCGGAAGAGGCGAGUGGAAUUCCUGGUGUAGCGGUGAAAUGCGCAGAUAUCAGGAGGAACACCAAUGGCGAAGGCAGCUCGCUGGGACGUGACUGACGCUGAGACGCGAAAGCGUGGGGAGCAAACAGG